rnacentral:lncRNA from 1 species
UUUGAAAGAGAAGUGAACGUUCGAAGAAUCUGAAAAAUAUUUUAAAAAAGAAGAAAAAGGAAGGAAUCGAAGAGAUGUUGAAUUUGAAAGUCAACGGACACGAGGUUGAAAUCGUGAUGGGAAAGAGAUCGUUGGAAAUUUUGUUCUAGAAUUUUCGAAGAUGAUAUCUUCUUUUUUCUUCUUCUCCAAUUUGAAAGAAGAGUGAAUGUUCGAAGAAUCUGAAAAAUAUUUAAAAAAAAAAAGAAAAAGGAAGAGAUGUUGAAUUUGAACGUUUGUAAAGUCAAAAAAUUCAACAGAAAUUCUUUGAAGAAUUUGAAAUUGCAGCACUCGUUCGAUUUGUGGAUAUCCAUGGCCAGGUACUGGCAAAUGUGAUAAAUCGGGGAAUGUCGAGCGAAUUUUUCUCCGAGAGUUUAUACGUGUCCCGGCCAAAGCCUUGAAAUUUAACCAGACACGUCAGUUUAUCGCCUCUUAUCGGAAGGUUAUACGUCAUCGUAUUCUUUACAUUAUUCAAUAGAUAUACUUGACAAAAAAAAAAAAAAAAAAAAAAUCGCUCUUUCAGCUGUAGAAGAUGUUAAGAAUCCGUUGAUUCUCGAGAACUCGAUUGAUAUAAAUUCGUGAUCGUGAUGCCACGUCCCGAAGGCGAAACGAAAUCGCGACGAGAUUGUUCGUAAAAAAAAAAAAAAAAAAAAAAAAGGAAAGAAUGAAAAGAUUAACGUACACGGUAACGCGUAAAAAUGUUGAACAUAAUAAUUGUUGCAGGACAUAAAGAUUUCAUAAAAAACGCGUAAUCUUUCGAAAAAGGAGGAUCGAUAGAUUUUUAUUGGAGCAAGUUAUACCACGUCCAUCGUUCUUGCAACCGUUACUUUUUAUCUUUAUUUAUUUACUACAACGUGACUAAUGCCGAUUUUGCAACAAACCUCGCUUUGACAGAGUCUUUUCGUUCUUCUUUUUUUUCCUUUUUUUUUUUUUUUUACUGUGUCAAUCAUAGUUUUUCAUUAUCAUGUUUUCCUUUUCUUUUCUAAAACUUCAGACAGAAGUACUUCAUCAUCGGUGUACAAUUCUUUUUUUCUUAAUCUUCAAUUCUAUUCCGACACGACUCUCGAGAAAGGAAACAAUUACUUGAUAGAUUUCUCUAGAGGUCCGAAGGGAAAGGGUUGCAGCGCGAAACAAGGGCACAUUUAGAUUAUAGGAUCCUCGUGGAAAAGGGUCCUGCGUGUACCUGCGCAACGUUUCACCCUUCGCGGUCCCUUCUGACCUGCGCCGGAUCAUCGAGUCCCCCGACAGGGAGGGGGAUGGAAUCAGGUUUUCCACACGCACGCUCUUCGCGCCGAACAGGUAGUGGACGACGAGUUGGGCUCGUGCAGGUAUAUGACCCUUCGAUCUUGCCCGGGUCAACCUUUCUUCCUCGCCCGGUUUCUCCCUUCCCUGGAUGACCCUUUUUUUUUCUUCCGCCCUUCUUCUUCUUCUUCUUCUAUUCUUGCUCUUUUCCUCGAGAGGAAAGAUGCAAUGCUCGCGAAUCGAGAAGAGGAAUCGAGAAGAAAAAUUGAAAAGAAUUUUGGAGUUUUUAUCUUUUUCUUUUUCGUGCAAUUAUUUUUUAUUGUUCUCUUGUAUUUAGUUAUCUUCUCUUUGGAGAAAAUGUUCGAAGGAACAUUUUUGGUGAUUGGAGGUAGAAAAAUAAGUAUCUUUUUAGAGUUAGAAAAGAUAUUUAUUUUUUAGAGGUUUGAGGAGGAGAUUUUAAUUACUCUUUUUUUUUUUUUAUUAUUAAAAAUAUAUGUUACGAUUAAAAUAAAAAUAUCAAUCAGUGGAAAUUGAUGUAAAUUCCUUGAUAGCAAAGUUAUUUUUGGAUCACUUACGAUUCACGUUUUACUUAAUCUCGCUAUGAAUUAUUCAAUUGUUGCAGAGAUGAAUGCUAUUAGAAGAGAUUUCCGGAUGCUGCGCAAGCGUGAUCCCUCGAUCUCCUAUUGGCCUUUGGACCACAACCAAUCCAGAUUCAGUACUCCCCUCUUCUCGAAUGGUCCAGCCUCUCGACCACUCUUGUCAGAAUCACUUUCACGCCGCUUCUUAUCAACUACUAUCUCCCUCUCGAUUUUUUAUCCCCUCUCCCCUUCAACUCACAGUCCAGCAUCAAAAAAAAAAAAUUAUUCAAAAUUAUUUCAUCAUUCAAUUAUUUCAAUUUCGUCCAAAAAUUUAUUCAUAAUAUAUUCAAACCGAUAUCGCUUACAUUCCAUCGUCAGUUUCUUCACUUUAUUAGCGAGAAAGAGAAGAAGAAUCUCUCUCGUAUUCGUAAUAAAAAAAAAAAA